CCCUUAGAUGUUCUGGGCCGCACGCGCGCUACACUGAUCGAUUCAACGAGUUUUAUAAUAUUUUUGUUAAAAAUUUAUAUAUCCUUUGUCGGAAGGCCUGGGCAAUCUUUGAACAUCGAUCGUGAUCGGGAUAGAUUCUUGUAAUUUUUAAUCUUAAACGAGGAAUUCCUAGUAAACGCAAGUCAUCAGCUUGCAUUGAUUACGUCCCUGCCCUUUGUACACACCGCCCGUCGCACCUACCGAUUGAAUGGUCCGGUGAAAUCUCCGGACUGGUGUGAGUCGGAGCAAUCUGACAAACACCGGAAAGUUGAUUAAACCUUACCAUUUAGAGGAAGGUGAAGUCGUAACA
rnacentral:rRNA from 1 species